rnacentral:rRNA from 1 species
UACGUAGGGGGCGAGCGUUAAUCGGAAUUACUGGGCGUAAAGUGUGCGCAGGCGGCUUCGCAAGUCGAGUGUGAAAUUCCCGAGCUUAACUUGGGAAUUGCGCUCGAAACUACGGAGCUGGAGUGUGGCAGAGGAAGGUGGAAUUCCACGUGUAGCGGUGAAAUGCGUAGAGAUGUGGAGGAACACCGAUGGCGAAGGCAGCCUUCUGGGCCAACACUGACGCUCAUGCACGAAAGCGUGGGGAGCAAACAGG